rnacentral:rRNA from 1 species
CCUACGGGUGGCAGCAGUGAGGAAUAUUGGUCAAUGGACGAGAGUCUGAACCAGCCAAGUAGCGUGAAGGAUGACUGCCCUAUGGGUUGUAAACUUCUUUUAUAAAGGAAUAAAACGAGGCACGUGUGCCUUUUUGCAUGUACUUUAUGAAUAAGGAUCGGCUAACUCCGUGCCAGCAGCCGCGGUAAUACGGAGGAUCCGAGCGUUAUCCGGAUUUAUUGGGUUUAAAGGGAGCGUAGAUGGGUUGUUAAGUCAGUUGUGAAAGUUUGCGGCUCAACCGUAAAAUUGCAAUUGAUACUGGCAGUCUAGAGUACAGUUGAGGUAGGCGGAAUUCGUGGUGUAGCGGUGAAAUGCGUAGAUAUCACGAAGAACCCCGAUUGCGAAGGCAGCUUACUAAACUGUGACUGACAUUGAUGCUCGAAAGUGUGGGUAUCAAACAGGAUUAGAUACCCUAGUAGUC